GUAGUCCACGCCGUAAACGAUCUAGACUAGUUGUUGCCAUUAAAGGCAGUAACGCAGCUAACGCAUUAAGUCUAGCGCCUGGGUAGUAUGCACGCAAGUGUGAAACUCAAAGGAAUUGACGGGGACCCGCACAAGUGGUGGAGCAUGUGGUUUAAUUCGAUGAUACGCGAAGAACCUUACCUACGUUUGACAUACUUGGCAAAUCCAUAGAGAUAUGGAGGAGGUUAACCAAUGUACAGGUGGUGCAUGGUUGUCGUCAGCUCGUGUCGUGAGAUGUUCGGUUAAGUCCGGUAACGAGCGCAACCCCUUUCUUAUGUUACUAACAAUUAAAGUUGAGGACUCAUGAGAUACUGCCUGGGUAACCAGGA
rnacentral:rRNA from 1 species